rnacentral:rRNA from 1 species
CCAGCUCCAAGAGUGUAUAUUAAAGUUGUUGUGGUUAAAACGCCCGUAGUUGAUUUUCCGACUCUGGCUUCCGGUAACCCGAGAGGGUCUUACUUGGUUUGUCGAGUCUGAAUUUGGGUUUUCUGCCAAUGCUCUUAACUGAGUGUCGGUAGUGACUCAAGAGUUUACUUUGAAAAAAUUAGAGUGCUUAAAGCAAGCUAUACGCUUGAAUAGAGUGCAUGGGAUAAUGGAAUAGGACUUCAGUUCUAUUUUGUUGGUUUUCGGAAUUGAAGUAAUGAUUAAGAGGAACUGACGGGGGCAUUCGUAUUGUUGCGUUAGAGGUGAAAUUCUUGGAUCGCAGCAAGACGAACAACUGCGAAAGCAUUUGCCAAGAAUGUUUUCAUUAAUCAAGGACGAAAGUUAGAGGUUCGAAGGCGAUCAGAUACCGCCCUAGUUCUAACCGUAAACGAUGCCAACUGGCCAUUCGUCGGUGUUAAUUUAUGACCCGACGGGCAGCUUCCGGGAAACCAAAGUUUUUUGGUUCCGGGGGAAGUAUGGUUGCAAAGCUUAAACUUAAAGGAAUUGACGGAAGGGCACCACCAGGAGUGGAGCCUGCGGCUUAAUUCGACUCAAC